UACGAGGGGGGCUAGUGUUGUUCGGAAUCACUGGGCGUAAAGGGAGCGUAGGCGGGCGUUUAAGUUAGGUGUUUAAUCCCGGGGCCCAACCCCGGACCGGCACCUAAAACUGGACGUCUUGAAUAGUGGAGAGGUCGGUGGAAUUGGAGGUGUAGCGGUGGAAUGCGUAGAGAUCUCCAAGAACACCCGUUGCGAAGGCGGCCGACUGGACACAUAUUGACGCUGAGGCUCGAAAGCAUGGGGAGCAAACAGG
rnacentral:rRNA from 1 species